rnacentral:rRNA from 1 species
UACGAAGGGGGCUAGCGUUGCUCGGAAUUACUGGGCGUAAAGGGAGCGUAGGCGGACAGUUUAGUCAGAGGUGAAAGCCCAGGGCUCAACCCUGGAAUUGCCUUUGAUACUGCAAAUCUCGAGUCCGGAAGAGGUGAGUGGAAUUCCUAGUGUAGAGGUGAAAUUCGUAGAUAUUAGGAAGAACACCAGUGGCGAAGGCGGCUCACUGGUCCGAUACUGACGCUGAGGUGCGAAAGCGUGGGGAGCAAACAGG